UACAGAGACUGCAAGCGUUAUUCGGAUUCACUGGGCGUAAAGGGUGCGCAGGCGGCCAAGUGUGUGAGGCGUGAAAGCCUGGGGUUUAACUCCAGAAUUGCACCUCAAACUACAUGGCUAGAGCAUUGGAGAGGGUAGCAGAAUUCAUGGUGUAGCAGUGAAAUGCGUAGAUAUCGUGAGGAAUACCAGAGGCGAAGGCGGCUACCUGGACAAUUGCUGACGCUCAGGCACGAAAGCGUGGGGAGCAAAAGGG
rnacentral:rRNA from 1 species